AAUCGGAAUUACUGGGCGUAAAGCGCACGCAGGCGGUCUGUCAAGUCGGAUGUGAAAUCCCCGGGCUCAACCUGGGAACUGCAUUCGAAACUGGCAGGCUAGAGUCUUGUAGAGGGGGGUAGAAUUCCAGGUGUAGCGGUGAAAUGCGUAGAGAUCUGGAGGAAUACCGGUGGCGAAGGCGGCCCCCUGGACAAAGACUGACGCUCAGGUGCGAAAGCGUGGGGAGCAAACAGGAUUAGAUACCCUGGUAGUCCACGCCGUAAACGAUGUCGAUUUGGAGGUUGUGCCCUUGAGGCGUGGCUUCCGGAGCUAACGCGUUAAAUCGACCGCCUGGGGAGUACGGCCGCAAGGUUAAAACUCAAAUGAAUUGACGGGGGCCCGCACAAGCGGUGGAGCAUGUGGUUUAAUUCGAUGCAACGCGAAGAACCUUACCUGGUCUUGACAUCCACAGAACUUUCCAGAGAUGGAUUGGUGCCUUCGGGAACUGUGAGACAGGUGCUGCAUGGCUGUCGUCAGCUCGUGUUGUGAAAUGUUGGGUUAAGUCCCGCAACGAGCGCAACCCUUAUCCUUUGUUGCCAGCGGUUAGGCCGGGAACUCAAAGGAGACUGCCAGUGAUAAACUGGAGGAAGGUGGGGAUGACGUCAAGUCAUCAUGGCCCUUACGACCAGGGCUACACACGUGCUACAAUGGCAUAUACAAAGAGAAGCGACCUCGCGAGAGCAAGCGGACCUCAUAAAGUAUGUCGUAGUCCGGAUUGGAGUCUGCAACUCGACUCCAUGAAGUCGGAAUCGCUAGUAAUCGUAGAUCAGAAUGCUACGGUGAAUACGUUCCCGGGCCUUGUACACACCGCCCGUCACACCAUGGGAGUGGGUUGCAAAAGAAGUAGGUAGCUUAACCUUCGGGAGGGCGCU
rnacentral:rRNA from 1 species